CCUACGGGAGGCAGCAGUGGGGAAUAUUGCACAAUGGGGGAAACCCUGAUGCAGCGACGCCGCGUGAGCGAUGAAGUAUUUCGGUAUGUAAAGCUCUAUCAGCAGGGAAGAAAAUGACGGUACCUGACUAAGAAGCCCCGGCUAACUACGUGCCAGCAGCCGCGGUAAUACGUAGGGGGCAAGCGUUAUCCGGCUUUACUGGGUGGAAAGGGAGCGUAGACGGGCCUUCCAGGCAGAUGUGAAAGCCCGGGGCUCAACCCCGGGACUGCAUUUGGAACUGUAAGGCUAGAGUGUCGGAGAGGCAGGCGGAAUUCCUGGUGUAGCGGUGAAAUGCGUAGAUAUUAGGAGGAACACCAGUGGCGAAGGCGGCCUGCUGGACGAUGACUGACGUUGAGGCUCGAAAGCGUGGGGAGCAAACAGGAUUAGAUACCCUUGUAGUC
rnacentral:rRNA from 1 species